rnacentral:misc_RNA from 1 species
CGGAGAAUGAGAAGAGGAGAAGUGGGUGGCGAUUGGGUCGAUCAGCAAUUGCAGCGAUUUUGGUGUUGAUGAUAGCAUUUGGUGUGACUUUUUUGUAUACAGAGGAGGGAAAAUCAUGUCCUUGUUUUCAGGACUCUAGAAAAUAUACUGGGAUAGUUGAAGACUGUUGUUGUGAUUAUGAAACCGUUGACGCUAUUAAUGGCGCUGUGCUGCAUCCUUUACUCCAAGGGCUUGUUACAACUCCCUUCUUUAGAUACUUUAAGGUUAAGCUGUGGUGUGACUGCCCUUUUUGGCCUGAUGAUGGUAUGUGUAAGUUACGAGAUUGCAGUGUAUGCGAAUGUCCAGAAACUGAGUUCCCCGAAUCUUUUAGGAGACCUCCACUUGGCCUUGCUGCUGAUGAUCUGAAAUGCCAAGAGGGAAAACCAGAGGCAGCUGUUGACCGCACUCUCGACUCCAAGGUUUUUAGGGGAUGGAUAGAGGUAGAUAAUCCUUGGACAGUUGAUGAUGAAACAGAUAAUGGUGAGAUGACAUAUGUCAAUCUCUUGCUGAACCCGGAGCGUUACACUGGCUACACUGGUCCCUCGGCCAGGCGAAUAUGGGAUGCUAUAUACUCG